CGAGAGAGUUUGCAAGAACUCCCCCAAACCCACUGUGAACAUACCUGAAGUUUGCUUCGGCAGGCGGUCCCCGGGGGGACCUCCAGCCCGCCUCCGGGCGGGUGCCUGCCGCGAGUCCACUAUAAACUCUGCUGUACCAGUUUUUCUGAGGAGAGAAGCCCGCUGAGAAGCAGGGCAAAUCUAGUCA
rnacentral:misc_RNA from 1 species